GGGCAUACUACUGUUUAUGCCUUUUAACUGGCCAUUUUUGUCCUCCACUGUCUUGGCAGCAAUAUGAUAUUAACGCAUAGAAGAUACUUUUCCCAUCAACUAUAGAUGGCUGUUCUUCUCCGUUUUCCUGCUAUUUUUUACUUUAAGAGGACUGGGAUUACUAUGAUCCACUUGAAGAUGAAAACAGUAACAAGUAAAAAGAAGAGCUGUGCUGGUUUCUCUCUAUUUUCCAGCCUCUACUCCCACCACCACCACUGUUACAAGAAAGAUCCUUUGUUCUGUUCUGUUCUUUGCCCCAGGAAGCUGAUCCCUGUGGAUUACACACCUGAGCAUCCUCCUACUAGCUUCUGGUUAAAUUCAGCCAGUGAAGAUCAAGAGUGAUCAGAGGACUGAAAGAAAGAGACUGAGGUUUUUCUUCUCCCCUCCUUUUCUGCUCUGGGUCAUAUUUUCUGGAACAUGCUGCAUUCCCCCAGGAUUAUAGCACCUUUUAGGUUGUUCCAUGUCUCACUGGGCUCUGGUAGAGAAAUUUUCUCCUCUUGCCCUUUAGGCUUAGGAGUGGCAAGGGCUUCCUGUGGUUUCUAGGCUCUUCAGUGCCUCAACAUCCUUUACUGGCUCCUCUAAAUUCUCUCACCCCUUUGAAAGCAGUCUAUAAAAUUCUUAAACCAUGUGAGGUUCCUAUGAGGACCCUGAUACAAG
rnacentral:lncRNA from 1 species